GACGGAAGAGGCAAGCGUUGUUCGGAAUCACUGGGCUUAAAGCGCGUGUAGGCGGCCCGGCAAGUACCUUGUGAAAGCCCUCGUCUCAACCGAGGCAUGGCUGGGUAUACUGCCGGGCUUGAGGCAGGUAGGGGUGCCUGGAACUCUCGGUGGAGCGGUGAAAUGCGUAGAUAUCGAGAGGAACGCCCGUGGCGAAAGCGGGGCACUGGGCCUGACCUGACGCUGAGACGCGAAAGCGUGGGGAGCAAACGGG
rnacentral:rRNA from 1 species